rnacentral:rRNA from 1 species
CCUACGGGAGUCAGCAGUGAGGAAUAUUGGUCAAUGGUCUGGAGACUGAACCAGCCAAGCCGCGUGAGGGAUGAAGGUACAGAGUAUCGUAAACCUCUUUUGUCAGGGAACAAAGGCGGGGACGUGUCCCCGGAUGAGUGUACCUGAAGAACACGCAUCGGCUAACUCCGUGCCAGCAGCCGCGGUAAUACGGAGUAUGCGAGCGUUAUCCGGAUUUAUUGGGUGUAAAGGGUGCGCAGGCGGUCUGUUAAGUCAGCGGUCAAAGCCCGGGGCUCAACCCCGGCCCGCCGUUGAAACUGGCAGUCUGGAGUUGGAGAGAAGGAUGCGGAAUGCGCGGUGUAGCGGUGAAAUGCAUAGAUAUCGCGCAGAACUCCGAUUGCGAAGGCAGCAUGCCGGCUCCACACUGACGCUGAGGCACGAAAGCGUGGGUAUCGAACAGGAUUAGAUACCCCAGUAGUC